UACGUAGGGGGCAAGCGUUGUCCGGAUUUAUUGGGCGUAAAGAGCGUGUAGGCGGCUUGACAGGUCUGCUGUGAAAAACUCGAGGCUCAACCUCGAGAUGUCGGCGGAAACCGUCUGGCUAGAGUCCGGAAGAGGAGAGUGGAAUCCUGGUGUAGCGGUGAAAUGCGCAGAUAUCAGGAAGAACACCUAUGGCGAAGGCAGCUCUCUGGGACGGUACUGACGCUGAGACGCGAAAGCGUGGGGAGCGAACAGG
rnacentral:rRNA from 1 species